rnacentral:rRNA from 1 species
UACAGAGGUCCCAAGCGUUGUUCGGAUUUACUGGGCGUAAAGGGUGCGUAGGUGGCCAGGUAAGUUCGAUGUGAAAUCUCCGAGCUCAACUCGGAAACUGCAUUGAAUACUCUCUGGCUAGAGGUUUGGAAGGGGGACUGGAAUUCUCGGUGUAGCAGUGAAAUGCGUAGAUAUCGAGAGGAACACCAGUGGCGAAGGCGAGUCCCUGGACAACACCUGACACUGAGGCACGAAAGCUAGGGGAGCAAACAGG